rnacentral:rRNA from 1 species
CCCGGGCCUUGUACACGCCGCCCGUCACACCAUGGGAGUUGGUUUUACCCGAAGACGGUGCGCUAACCGCAAGGAGGCAGCCGGCCACGGUAGGGUCAGCGACUGGGGUG